CCUACGGGUGGCAGCAGUGAGGAAUAUUGGUCAAUGGGCGUAAGCCUGAACCAGCCAAGUCGCGUGAGGGAUGAAGGUUCUAUGGAGCGUAAACCUCUUUUAUAAGGGAAUAUAGUGCGGGACGUGUCCCGUUUUGUAUGUACCUUCUGAAUAAGGAUCGGCUAACUCCGUGCCAGAGGCCGCGGUAAUCCGGAGGUGCCGAGCGUUAUCCGGAUUUAUUGGGUUUAAGGGGUGCUUAGGCGGCGUGUUAAGUCAGCGGGGAUAGUCUGUGGCUCAACCGUAGGAGUGCCUUUGAAACUGGGAGGCUUGAGUAUGUUUGAGGCAGGCGGAAUGCGUGGUGUAGCGGUGAAAUGCUUAGAUAUCACGCAGAACCCCGAUUGCGAAGGCAGCCUGCCAAGCCAUGACUGACGCUGAUGCACGAAAGCGUGGGGAUCAAACAGGAUUAGAGACCCGUGUAGUC
rnacentral:rRNA from 1 species